GUGCUCACUGUGCCAGCAUGUAUACUAAAAUUGGAGUGAUACAGAGAUUAGCAUGGCCCGUGCACAAGGAUGACAUGCAAAUGCAUGAAGUGGUCCAUUUCUUU
ensembl:snRNA RNU6-342P RNA, U6 small nuclear 342, pseudogene